UACGAAGGGGGGCUAGCGUUGUUCGGAAUUACUGGGCGUAAAGCGUGCGCAGGCGGUGAUGUAAGACAGAUGUGAAAUCCCCGGGCUCAACCUGGGAACUGCAUUUGUGACUGCAUCGCUGGAGUGCGGCAGAGGGGGGAUGGAAUUCCGCGUGUAGCAGUGAAAUGCGUAGAUAUGCGGAGGAACACCGAUGGCGAAGGCAAUCCCCUGGGCCUGCACUGACGCUCAUGCACGAAAGCGUGGGGAGCAAACAGG
rnacentral:rRNA from 1 species